GAUGAACGCUGGCGGCGUGCCUAAUACAUGCAAGUCGAGCGAACGGACGAGAAGCUUGCUUCUCUGAUGUUAGCGGCGGACGGGUGAGUAACACGUGGAUAACCUACCUAUAAGACUGGGAUAACUUCGGGAAACCGGAGCUAAUACCGGAUGAUAUUUUGAACCGCAUGGUUCAAAAGUGAAAGACGGUCUUGCUGUCACUUAUAGAUGGAUCCGCGCUGCAUUAGCCAGUUGGUAAGGUAACGGCUUACCAAGGCAACGAUGCAUAGCCGACCUGAGAGGGUGAUCGGCCACACUGGAACUGAGCCACGGUCCAGACGCCUACGGGAGGCAGCAGUAGGGAAUCUUCCGCAAUGGGCGAAAGCCUGACGGAGCAACGCCGAGUGAGUGAUGAAGGCCUUCGGAUCGUAAAACUCUGUUAUUAGGGAAGAACAUAUGUGUAAGUAACUGUGCACAUCUUGACGGUACCUAAUCAGAAAGCAACGGCUAACUACGUG
rnacentral:rRNA from 1 species